rnacentral:rRNA from 1 species
UACGUAGGGUCCGAGCGUUGUCCGGAAUUACUGGGCGUAAAGAGCUCGUAGGUGGUUUGUCGCGUUGUUCGUGAAAACUCACAGCUUAACUGUGGGCGUGCGGGCGAUACGGGCAGACUUGAGUACUGCAGGGGAGACUGGAAUUCCUGGUGUAGCGGUGGAAUGCGCAGAUAUCAGGAGGAACACCGGUGGCGAAGGCGGGUCUCUGGGCAGUAACUGACGCUGAGGCACGAAAGCCAGGGGAGCAAACGGG